GAGUUUGAUCCUGGCUCAGGAUGAACGCUGGCGGCGUGCCUAACACAUGCAAGUCGAGCGAUUCUCUUCGGAGAAGAGCGGCGGACGGGUGAGUAACGCGUGGGUAACCUGCCCUGUACACACGGAUAACAUACCGAAAGGUAUGCUAAUACGAGAUAAUAUACUUUUAUCGCAUGGUAGAAGUAUCAAAGCUUUUGCGGUACAGGAUGGACCCGCGUCUGAUUAGCUAGUUGGUAAGGUAACGGCUUACCAAGGCGACGAUCAGUAGCCGACCUGAGAGGGUGAUCGGCCACAUUGGAACUGAGACACGGUCCAAACUCCUACGGGAGGCAGCAGUGGGGAAUAUUGCACAAUGGGCGAAAGCCUGAUGCAGCAACGCCGCGUGAGCGAUGAAGGCCUUCGGGUCGUAAAGCUCUGUCCUCAAGGAAGAUAAUGACGGUACUUGAGGAGGAAGCCCCGGCUAACUACGUGCCAGCAGCCGCGGUAAUACGUAGGGGGCUAGCGUUAUCCAGAAUUACUGGGCGUAAAGGGUGCGUAGGUGGUUUCUUAAGUCAGAGGUGAAAGGCUACGGCUCAACCGUAGUAAGCCUUUGAAACUGGGAAACUUGAGUGCAGGAGAGGAGAGUGGAAUUCCUAGUGUAGCGGUGAAAUGCGUAGA
rnacentral:rRNA from 1 species